GACGAACGCUGGCGGCGUGCCUAAUACAUGCAAGUCGAGCGAAUCAGAGGGAGCUUGCUCCCAAAGAUUAGCGGCGGACGGGUGAGUAACACGUGGGCAACCUGCCUAUAAGACUGGGAUAACUUCGGGAAACCGGAGCUAAUACCGGAUAAUUCUUUUCUACACAUGUAGGAAAGCUGAAAGACGGUUUCGGCUGUCACUUAUAGAUGGGCCCGCGGCGCAUUAGCUAGUUGGUGAGGUAACGGCUCACCAAGGCGACGAUGCGUAGCCGACCUGAGAGGGUGAUCGGCCACACUGGGACUGAGACACGGCCCAGACUCCUACGGGAGGCAGCAGUAGGGAAUCUUCCGCAAUGGACGAAAGUCUGACGGAGCAACGCCGCGUGAGUGAUGAAGGUUUUCGGAUCGUAAAACUCUGUUGUUAGGGAAGAACAAGUAUGAGAGUAACUGCUCGUACCUUGACGGUACCUAACCAGAAAGCCACGGCUAACUACGUG
rnacentral:rRNA from 1 species